AGACUCCGUCAGUAGUGGCGAGCGAACGCGGAUCAGGCCAGUGCCUGGUGAGAGUUUACUGGAAUGGUCUGGAAUGGCCGGCGAGAUGGGUGACACCCCCGUACAGGACGGACGAUUGCCAGGACUCGAGUAGGGCGGGACACGUGAAAUCCUGUCUGAACAUGGGGGGACCAUCCUCCAAGCCUAAGUACUCCUACAUGACCGAUAGUGAACCAGUACCGUGAGGGAAAGGUGAAAAGCACCCCGACGAGGGGAGUGAAACAGUACCUG
rnacentral:rRNA from 13 species